GGAUUCCCUAGUACGGCGAGUGAAGCGGGAAGAGCUCAAAUUUGAAAUCUGGCAGUCUUCGAUUGUCCGAGUUGUAAUCUAUAGAGGCGUUUUCCGUGCCGGACCGUGUCCAAGUCUCCUGGAAAGGAGUAUCAAAGAGGGUGAUAAUCCCGUACUUAACACGACCACCGGUGCUCUGUGAUACGUCUUCUACGAGUCGAGUUGUUUGGGAAUGCAGCUCAAAAUGGGUGGUGAAUUCCAUCUAAAGCUAAAUAUUGGCGAGAGACCGAUAGCGAACAAGUACCGUGAGGGAAAGAUGAAAAGCACUUUGGAAAGAGAGUUAAACAGUACGUGAAAUUGUUGAAAGGGAAACGAUUGAAGUCAGUCGUGUUCUUUGGAUUCAGCCAGUUCUGCUGGUCUACUUCCUUGGAACGGGUCAACAUCAGUUUUGUCCGGUGGAUAAAGGUAGUAGGAAUGUGACUUCUCCGGAAGUGUUAUAGCCUAUUAUCACAUACACUGGGUGAGACUGAGGACUGCAGCUCGCCUUUAUGGCCGGUCUUCGGACACGUUCGAGCUUAGGAUGUUGACAUAAUGGCUUUAAACGACCCGUCUGAAAA
rnacentral:rRNA from 1 species